rnacentral:rRNA from 1 species
UACGGGGGGAGCAAGCGUUGUUCGGAAUCACUGGGCGUAAAGGGAGUCUAGGCGGUUUGGUAAGUGGGAUGUGAAAUCCCCGGGCUCAACCCGGGAACUGCGUCCGAGACUGGCAGGCUCGAAUCCGGGAGAGGGAUGUGGAAUUCCAGGUGUAGCGGUGAAAUGCGUAGAUAUCUGGAGGAACACCGGUGGCGAAGGCGGCAUCCUGGACCGGUAUUGACGCUGAGGAGCGAAAGCCAGGGGAGCAAACGGG